GCUAAAUACUACCUGAUGACCGAUAGUGAAGCAGUACCGUGAGGGAAAGGUGAAAAGAACCCCGGGAGGGGAGUGAAAUAGAACCUGAAACCGUGUGCCUACAACCGCUCAGAGCCCCUUAUGAGGGUGAUGAGGUGCUUUUUGUAGAACGAGCCAACGAGUUACGGUAUGUAGCAAGGUUAAGUACUUAAGGUACGGAGCCGAAGGGAAACCGAGUCUGAAUAGGGCGACUAGUUGCAUGCCGUAGACCCGAAACCGGGUGACCUAUCCAUGGCCAGGUUGAAGCGAGGGUAAAACCUCGUGGAGGACCGAACCACGUUGCUGUUGAAAAAGCAUGGGAUGAGCUGUGGAUAGCGGAGAAAUUCCAAUCGAACCCGGAGAUAGCUGGUUCUCUCCGAAAUAGCUUUAGGGCUAGCGUCGAGUAUGAGUAGUGGAGGUAGAGCACUGAAUGGGCUAGGGGGCAUAGCGCUUACCGAAC
rnacentral:rRNA from 1 species